rnacentral:rRNA from 1 species
UGGCUCAUUAAAACAGUUAUAGUUUACUUGAUAAUAAAAUUUUACAUGGAUAACCGUGGUAAUUCUAGAGCUAAUACAUGAGCAAAAUCUUGACUUUUUUAGAAAAGAUGCAUUUAUUAGAUAAAAAACCAAUACAUACUUUUUAAGUAUGAAAGUUGGUGAUUUACAAUAACUUAGCAAAUCGCAUAGUGAAAACUGGCGAUAAAUCAUUCAAGUUUCUGACCUAUCAGCUUUCGACGGUAUGGUAUUGGCUUACCGUGGCAGUGACGGUUAACGGGGGAUUAGGGUUCGAUUCCGGAGAGGGAGCCUGAGAAACGGCUACCACAUCUAAGGAAGGCAGCAGGCGCGCAAAUUACCCAAUUCUAACAGCAUAAGAGAGGUAGUGACAAGAAAUAACAAUACAAGGCAGUUAAAAUGCUUUGUAAUUGGAAUGAUAGAAAUUUAAACACUUUUUAAAGUAUCAAUUGGAGGGCAAGUCUGGUGCCAGCAGCCGCGGUAAUUCCAGCUCCAAUAGCGUAUAUUAAAAUUGUUGCAGUUAAAAAGCUCGUAGUUGAAUUUCUGCUUAAAAUAACCAGUCUGCUUUUAACAAAAGUGGUAUCUUGGUGUGUUUUUAGCAAUAAUGUCCUUUGAAAUGUGUUUUACUUUGUUGUAAAAGACAAUAUUCAGGAUUUUUACUUUGAGAAAAUUAGAGUGUUUCUAGCAGGCUAAUGCUUUGAAUACUGCAGCAUGGAAUAAUAAAAUAGGAAUUUGGUUCUACAUUAUUGGUUU